UCCCCUUCAAUAUACUCCCCUCCACUCACCACACACCGUUUCAUUCGUUUCUUCCAUUACUCGAGGCAGUGCUGGAAGUCUGUUUUCGUAAGACCAUUCAGGAGUUCAGCCGAUUUUAGUUUCACCUCUUCCAUCGAUUCAAACCGGAUUCCUUUUAAGGAAGACUUUAUCUUCGGAAACAAGUAAAAGUCACAGGGUGCCAAGUCGGGUGAAUAAGACGCGUGUUCGAGUACUGGAGUACCUUAAGCGGCCAAAUAACGCUUCACAGACAGCGCGUUAUGGGCAGAUGCGUUAUCCUGGUGCAAGAUCCACGACUUGUUUUUCC